AACGAACGCUGGCGGCAUGCCUAACACAUGCAAGUCGAACGAGACCUUCGGGUCUAGUGGCGCACGGGUGCGUAACGCGUGGUAACCUGCCCUUAGGUUCGGAAUAACUCCCCGAAAGGUGUGCUAAUACCGGAUAAUGUCUUCGGACCAAAGAUUUAUCGCCUUUGGAUGGGCCCGCGUUGGAUUAGCUAGUUGGUAGGGUAAAAGCCUACCAAGGCGACGAUCCAGAGCUGGUCUGAGAGGAUGAUCAGCCACACUGGGACUGAGACACGGCCCAGACUCCGACGGGAGGCAGCAGUGGGGAAUAUUGGACAAUGGGCGAAAGCCUGAUCCAGCAAUGCCGCGUGAGUGAUGAAGGCCUUAGGGUUGUAAAGCUCUUUUACCCGGGAUGAUAAUGACAGUACCGGGAGAAUAAGCACCGGCUAACUCCGUG
rnacentral:rRNA from 1 species